CAGCCCUAAACGAUGCGCGUUAGGUGUAUCGGUGACCACGAGUCACCGAGGUGCCGAAGGGAAACCGUGAAACGUGCCGCCUGGGAAGUACGGUCGCAAGGCUGAAACUUAAAGGAAUUGGCGGGGGAGCACCACAACAGGUGGAGCCUGCGGUUUAAUUGGACUCAACGCCGGGAAGCUCACCGGAUAGGACAGCAGAAUGAUUGCCGGGCUGAAGACCCUGCAUGACUAGCUGAGAGGAGGUGCAUGGCGUAGACGUCU
rnacentral:rRNA from 1 species